GUGGGGAAUAUUGCGCAAUGGGGGAAACCCUGACGCAGCGACGCCGUGUGAGGGAAGAAGGCUUUCGGGUCGUAAACCUCUGUCAGAAAGGAAGAACCUCCCAAGUCCGAAUAGGGCUUGGGACUGACGGUACUUUCAAAGGAAGCACCGGCUAACUCCGUGCCAGCAGCCGCGGUAAUACGGAGGGUGCAAGCGUUAAUCGGAAUCACUGGGCGUAAAGCGCGCGUAGGCCGCUUUGUAAGUCGGACGUGAAAGCCCUCGGCUCCACCGGGGAACUGCGUUCGAUACUGCGAGGCUUGAGUCCUGGAGAGGGUGGCGGAAUUCCGGGUGUAGGAGUGAAAUCCGUAGAUAUCCGGAGGAACACCGGUGGCGAAGGCGGCCACCUGGACAGGUACUGACGCUGAGGCGCGAAAGCGUGGGGAGCAAACAGGAUUAGAAACCCUUGUAGUCC
rnacentral:rRNA from 1 species